rnacentral:rRNA from 1 species
CCAAGGAGUCUAGCGUGUGCGCGAGUCAUUGGGUGUAAAACCUAAAGGCGCAAUGAAAGUGUCAGGGGUGCCUCCUUUAGGAGCGCAUCCCGUUGGGAGGAUGGGCCGCCGUACGAUUACUCGUCGGAGCCCCGCACUCCCGGGGCGUCUCGUUCUCAUCACGAGUGGAGACGCACCAGGAGCGCACACGCUGGUACCCGAAAGAUGGUGAACUAUGCCUGGCCAGGACGAAGCCAGGGGAAACCCUGGUGGAGGUCCGAAGCGAUUCUGACGUGCAAAUCGAUCGUCUGAGCUGGGUAUAGGGGCGAAAGACCAAUCGAACCAUCUAGUAGCUGGUUCCCUCUGAAGUUUCCCUCAGGAUAGCUGGCUCUCGGGAAGAGACGAGUCUCAUCCGGUAGAGCGAAUGAUUAGAGGUGAUGGGGUCGAAACGACUUCAACCUAUUCUCAAACUCCCAAUAGAUGAGAGCCCCGGCUUGCUUAAAAGUGAAGCCGCGGGACUCGGAUCAGAGAUGCCAAGUGGGCCAAUUUU